rnacentral:tRNA from 1 species
CAUUUGGUAGCUAACAAGGCACAGCAACAGCUUUUUAAGCUGUUAAUCGGUGAUCACCAACCACCCCAAAUGA